CGCCCACCGCGUGGUCCAAGGACCACCACCCGCCACCGCCGCGCGAGCGUACUAUUGCGGCCGCCCUCUGCUGCGCCUGAAGAGAGAGGCGACUCUACAAGCCUCACAGCAUGCACUGUUACUAAAAAGACGAUGCGUCCUCCUGGACCUGAGAUCUGUGUGAUCGUGGGAAAGCGACGAAAAACGAACAAAGGAACAGUAAAUGGAGUAACUUGGCUAGAAUAUGGCAGUAACUACAAGGCAUGUUCUGCUCUGGCACGAAGACAACCCACCUGAGGCACCAGACACAUGAGUGAAGCCAUCUUGGACAUCCCAGUCACAGCCAAACUCACUCCUGAGUGCAUCUGCAUGAUGAACCCAGCAAUCCCCACCAUGGAGCAAAGGAUCCAUCCAGUCAACCCAAAGAAUCGUGAAAAAUAAUAAAUUGUUGUUUUAAAGUUCUUCAGUUUGGGAAUAGCUUGUUAUGCAACAAUACAUAAUUAAUACACUGGUCUCCCACUUUCAAGUUUGAUUAACUUUCAGCUAUUUUUCACAUAGCAGGCAGAGUGAUUCCAUUAAAACAUAUAUCAGAUAAUGUCACUGCACUAAGUAAACUCUACAAGGACUCUCAUCUCCCUCAGAGUAAAGGUCACAGUUGUUACAAGGCCCUACGUAAUGUGGCCCUCACCACCACUCCAUUACCUUUUUCUUAUCUACUAUUUGCUAACUUUGCUUUGUCCUCUUUUCUGUUCUGAAACAGGCUAGGCAUGGUCCUGCCUCAAGGCCUUUGCACCACCUACUCUGUCUGCUUGGAUUGUUCUUCCCACAGAUUUCUUGCUCCCUUCUUCCUUCAUGAAGAAAUGUCAUGAAAUGUCCUUCCUUCAUGAAAUGUCACCUUCUCAUUUGAGGCCUUCUGUAGUACCCCAAAGAAUGGUCCCCAAAGAUGUCCACAUCCUUAUGCCCAGAACCUGUGAAUGUGUUAUCUUAAUGGCAAAAGUGACUUUGCAAAUGUGAUUAUAUUUAAGGAUCUUAAGGAGGAGAUUAUCCUGGAUUAUCCAGGAGGGCCCAAUGUAAUCACAAGGGCCCUUAUAAGUGAAAGGGGGAGGCAACAGAGAGAAGGAGAUGUCAUAAUGAAAACAGAUCCAAGUGAUGAGAUUGCUGGCUGGGGUGGAGGUGGAGGGGGGUACAAUCCAAGGAAUGCAAGAAGCCUCUAAAAGCUAGGAAAUGUCAGGACACAAAUUCUCCCCUAGAACCUGAGGAAGAAACCCAGGUUUAUGGACACUGAUUUUAACCCAAUAAGUCCCUUUUCUGACUGCUGACCUCCAAAACUGUAAGAUAAUAAAUUUGUGUUAUUUUAAGCCAACUGAGUUUGAGAUAAUUUAGUUAUGGCAGCAAUAGGAAACUAGCACACCUUCCUAGCCAUCCUAUCUAAAAUGGCAACCCAUGUCCUUCCUGGCACUUCCUAUCUCCCUUCCAUGUUUUUUUUAAAUCAUAUAUACAAUAUAUUUUACUGUUUUACCUAUUGUCUUUUCCACCAGAAAGUAAACUCCACGUAAAUAAGGAUUGUCUGUUUUAUUCUUUGCAGUAUCUCCACUGCCUAGGAUAGCAUCUGCACAUACUGCACACUCAGUACACAUUUGUCGAAUGAGGUCAGGCGCGGUGGUUCACACCUGUAAUCCCAGCACUUUGGGAGGCCAAGGCGGGUGGAUCACCUUAGGUUAGGAGUUCGAGACCAGCCUGGCCAACAUGGUGAAACCAUGUCUCUACUAAAAAUACAAAAAGUAGUUGGGCAUGGUGGCAUGUGCCUGUAAUCCCAGCUACUUGGGAGGCUGUGGCAGGAGAGUCACUUGAAUCUGGGAGGUGGAGGUUGCAGUGAGCCAAGAUUGUGCCACUCCACUCCAGCCUGGGCAACAGAGUAAGACUCUGGCUCAAAAAAAAAAAAAAAGAAAGAAAGAAAAAAAUACAUAUUUGUUGAAUGAACAAGUGAAUGAACAAAUGUUAUGCAAAUAUAUUAUCCCUAUCUGUAGCUUGCCUUUUAAUUUUGUUAUAGUAACUUUGGUUGAAAGGAAGUUCUAAAAUCUUUAAUAUAAUCAAAUGUAUCAAUCUUUUCAACUUGUAUAUUUUAUGCCUUGUUUAAUCAACUCUGUCUUAUAUCAAAAUUAUAAAAGUAUUACCCUGUAUUUUCUUAUAAAA
ensembl:lncRNA novel transcript